rnacentral:sRNA from 1 species
AAGCAUUUGUGUGCAUAGUGGCUCCAAAGAGGUGUGUGAGGUGUGCGAGGAGGGAAGAGCACACACUUGGUAAUGGGGGCCUGAGAGCUGCAGGGGCUGGAAGAGAACACUUGUACGUUCCAUCCUCAGAGCAGCCUGAACUGUUCCUAAAGAAACUUCAGCAGUGCUGUGUCAUUUUUGACUUCAUGGACACGCUAUCUGAUCUUAAAAUGAAAGAAUACAAGCGCUCCACUCUUAAUGAACUGGUGGACUACAUUACAAUAAGCAGAGGCUGUUUGACAGAGCAGACUUACCCUGAAGUAGUUAGAAUGGUAUCUUGCAAUAUAUUCAGAACUCUCCCUCCUAGUGACAGCAAUGAAUUUGAUCCAGAAGAAGAUGAACCUACCCUUGAGGCAUCGUGGCCGCACUUACAGCUUGUAUAUGAAUUUUUCAUACGAUUUUUGGAAAGCCAAGAAUUCCAACCCAGCAUUGCCAAAAAAUAUAUAGAUCAGAAAUUUGUAUUACAGCUUCUGGAGCUAUUUGACAGCGAAGACCCUCGGGAACGGGACUACUUAAAAACAGUCUUACACAGAAUUUAUGGCAAGUUUCUUGGUCUUAGAGCAUUUAUCCGAAAACAGAUUAACAAUAUUUUUCUAAGGUUUGUUUAUGAAACAGAACACUUCAAUGGUGUAGCUGAACUGCUGGAAAUAUUAGGAAGUAUUAUCAAUGGCUUUGCUUUACCUCUUAAGGCAGAACACAAACAGUUUCUGGUGAAAGUAUUGAUCCCUUUACACACUGUCAGGAGCUUAUCACUCUUCCAUGCACAGCUGGCAUAUUGUAUAGUACAGUUUCUGGAGAAAGAUCCUUCACUCACAGAACCAGUUAUUAGGGGGUUAAUGAAAUUUUGGCCUAAAACAUGUAGUCAAAAAGAGGUCAUGUUCCUUGGGGAACUGGAAGAAAUAUUGGAUGUGAUUGAACCUUCACAAUUUGUUAAAAUCCAAGAACCUUUGUUUAAACAAAUCGCCAAGUGUGUAUCUAGCCCCCAUUUUCAGGUGGCAGAAAGAGCACUCUAUUAUUGGAAUAAUGAAUACAUCAUGAGUUUGAUAGAAGAAAACUCUAACGUCAUCCUUCCCAUCAUGUUUUCCAGCCUUUAUAGGAUUUCAAAAGAACAUUGGAAUCCGGCUAUUGUGGCGUUGGUGUACAAUGUGUUGAAGGCAUUUAUGGAAAUGAACAGCACCAUGUUUGACGAGCUGACAGCCACAUACAAGUCAGAUCGUCAGCGUGAGAAAAAGAAAGAAAAGGAGCGUGAAGAAUUGUGGAAAAAAUUGGAGGAUCUGGAGUUAAAGAGAGGUCUUAGACGUGAUGGAAUAAUUCCAACUUAACAAAAACAAUGACAACAACAUUACUAACCUGUGGAGUCACACGUUUAUGUAGUAGAAGAUGGAGCAACAGUUUUCUGUAUUGUGCAACUUUACAGUAGAUUUCA